rnacentral:rRNA from 1 species
GACGAACGCUGGCGGCGUGCUUAACACAUGCAAGUCGAACGGAAAGGCCCUGCUUUUGUGGGGUGCUCGAGUGGCGAACGGGUGUGUAACACGUGAGUAACCUGCCCUUGACUUUGGGAUAACUUCAGGAAACUGGGGCUAAUACCGGAUAGGAGCGCCUGCUGCAUGGUGGGGGUUGGAAAGUUUCGGCGGUUGGGGAUGGACGCGCGGAUUAUCAUCUUGUUGGUGGGGUCGUGGCUUACCAAGGCUUUGACGGGUAGCCGGCCUGAGAGGGUGACCGGCCAUAUUGGGACUGAGAUACGGCCCAGACUCCUACGGGAGGCAGCAGUGGGGAAUAUUGCACAAUGGGCGGAAGCCUGAUGCAGCAACGCCGCGUGCGGGAUGACGGCCUUCGGGUUGUAACCCGCUUUCGACUGUGACGAAGCGUGAGUGACGGUAAUGGGUAAAGAAGCACCGGCUAACUACGUG